CCAUGUUUGGACGCGGACUACAAGCGCUGGUCUCCGUCAGACGAGCAUGGUAACGAAUGUCUGCUGGGCAGAGAGGUGACGUUCAAGAGACGCGCUCCACACGCUACAUGCUUCAACGGAGAGGACUUCGACCGGCCCGUCACCAUCGCUAACUGCUCCUGCACCCGCCAGGACUACGAAUGCGACUACGGCUUCAAGCUGAGUGAAGACUUGUCCCUGCAGGUGUGUGUGCCCGACCCCGAGUUCUCGGGGGACCUCUACGCUCCCCCAGUGCCGUGUCCUAUCGGGACCACCUACCGCCGCAGCAAAGGCUACAGGAGGGUCCCCGGAGACAGCUGCAGUGGGGGGGACGUGGAGUCCAGGCUGGAUGGAGAGAUGCUGCCCUGUCCUGUCGGAG